CCACCGGCGCGCACAGCGUGAGGUCACCGAGCGUCCGCACGCCGUGCGCAGCCCCAGCACAGCUGACAGCCGAGGAGCAGGAAGCGGCGAGGACGGAGCGUGCGCUGCUUCCUGCUCCUCCGCCACUAGCGCUCAUUAGUAUUCGCCCCCAGGGGCACGCGUCUUGUGGGAUCCCCCAUAACAGUGCACCUACGCACUGAGGAGAAACAGAAAGGAGGAGAAAGAAUCCGCGGAAGCAAGCAGAGGACAGCAUAGCAGACGACUGAAUAUAUAUAUUUUUUAGGGACAAACAUUUGCCAAAUGAUUUAUACCUCCACAACAGAAACAAACCCUCCGAGAG